AUUUUAACAGCUGCUCCUGCUCACUGAGCAUUCACUGAAUGACAGGAGGUGUGCCGGGCACUUCAUCCAUGUUGAUGCAUUUGAUAAUCAAAACAGCCCCGGACCUAGGAUGCUAUUACUCUUUCCAUUUACUUUUCCAUUCUCCUCCAGAGAGGAGCUCUUUUGGGACCCAGAGGCGACAUCCGGCACAGCUCCAUGCGGGAGCCUCCCCAGGAGACCAGGGGGGCCAGCUCACCUGUAAGGAGUCGCAGCUCCCAGAGAGGAGAGGCUUGUCUUCAUGGUGUUACUCCUGGAAUUCUGGAUUCCCAUCCCUCAGCCCCCUCUCCUUAAAUGUUAAAUUAAACCAAUGCCUUAUUUACUAAUAAUUUCUUGGAUGUUUUUCUGAAAAAGACGGUUUGUUAUUGUUGUUGAGGAUGUUAUUGUUAUUUUGCUUCACGCUUUUAAAAACAAGCUGCCUGUAUUUUGAAGUUUGAGAAACGCAAGCAGAUGUUCUGUGAUUUACGCUUCUCGCUUCUCGGAGGACAGCCUUCGGGCGGGUGGAGCCGAGGCACCAGCACACGCUUCUAAUCUUCUCAUGUUAUUUUUCCUUUUCUGUUCUGUUUUUGUUGUUCUUUUAUAGAAGGAGAAGAGGGGUCCACCCACAUACACAUACAUUGUCAUGCACCUUGAAUAAUUAGGGAGACGAGUUUCAAUGGAAAACCACCAAUCUGAAGAAAUGCGGAUGUAGAAUGACAGCGUCUGUCUUGGCUGCGUCGUCAAUUUUAUCAGAAACUACAUUGUCACGUGAUAAUCUUGCUCUUGGCCUCUAUUCCCACACAACUUCUGACAUGAAUAGACAGACGUUAAGGCCCCAAAUGCCAAACAUCCCUUGUUGAGACACUGGCAAUGGCUGAAAUGAUUGGCCUCUUUGCCCAAAAGGACAUGUUGCUAGAAACUUCCUGGAUUCCAGAGGGAGAAUCCAGUCUUCUUCCUACGAAGAUUGAAUUUGUGACCACACCAAAGCAAUGAUGUUUAACCCUGGAGAAAACCCAGAAGUACAUUAAUAAGUGAC
rnacentral:lncRNA from 1 species